GGUUAGUUCAAAGAUUUUAAGGCUGGGUAAACCGUUUGGUUUUCGACCACUAGGACCCGGGUUCGAUUCCCGCAUUGGACA